UUUCCUGGCCCGCCUACCUUCUUCCUCUGUCUUGCGGUUCUUUGGCGCUGGGUAAGCAUUUGUCGUUUGUGCUAUCGAAUCCAUUCUUAAUCGCAGCCUGCGGAAAAAUGGACGGCUCCUACCUGAAACAUCAAAGCAGUGCUUCUGGAAUGCACUCAUCUGGAGUUAAUCUUAUGGUUAUCCUUGCAUUUGGAGCAUGGGUUUCAAGAAGCAUCAAAUAUUUCUUCUGAAGAGUUCUUUGAAGGGAACCAUUGCAGUCAGAGAUGGGCUGAACAAAUUCAGGAAAUUCCUAGGAUUUCUGGAAGUCAUGGAGUUUGGUCCAUUUGGUGAUAAUAAGAAAAAGAGAGCAUGUGUUUGGAGGAAAAUGAACACCAAAUACGUCUCCUGAAGAGUUGCAUAGCGUGAACAGCUGUAAUACAAAAUGGACUGAACAAACACUGAAAAUACUAGGAUUUCUGGAAGUCGGAAUUGAUAUUGAGAAAAAGGGCUGAUGAUUCUAAAAGAGAUGAAACAGCAACGGUGCACAUUCCCCAUCCUGAGCCUCUACAAAAUGUUUGUUGGACACAGGCAUGAAAGUGAGAACAGUAUUUCUCUGUUUCACCAUGGAAAAAAGUGGUACAGAAGAUGGAUGAAUUUGCUGUAACAUGUGAAAACAAGAUAGUGGCUCCUUACUCUCUUGAGUGUUAUAUGUGUGACCACCAACAAUAAAAAAAUUGUCCUAAUAA